UACGAAGGGGGCUAGCGUUGCUCGGAAUUACUGGGCGUAAAGGGCGCGUAGGCGGCCUCGCAAGUCCCGUGUGAAAUCCCUCGGCUCAACUGAGGAAUGGCACGGGAAACUGCGGGGCUUGAGUUCGGGAGAGGGAAGCGGAAUUCCGGGUGUAGCGGUGAAAUGCGUAGAUAUCCGGAGGAACACCGGUGGCGAAGGCGGCUUCCUGGACCGAUACUGACGCUGAGGCGCGAAGGCCAGGGGAGCAAACGGG
rnacentral:rRNA from 1 species